rnacentral:rRNA from 2 species
UGGAGAGUUUGAUCCUGGCUCAGGAUGAACGCUGGCGGCGUGCUUAACACAUGCAAGUCGAACGGGCUCUUCGGAGCUAGUGGCGGACGGGUGAGUAACGCGUGAGAAUCUGCCUACAGGACGGGGACAACAGUUGGAAACGACUGCUAAUACCCGAUGUGCCGAGAGGUGAAACAUUUAUGGCCUGUAGAUGAGCUCGCGUCUGAUUAGCUAGUUGGUGGGGUAAGGGCCUACCAAGGCGACGAUCAGUAGCUGGUCUGAGAGGAUGAUCAGCCACACUGGGACUGAGACACGGCCCAGACUCCUACGGGAGGCAGCAGUGGGGAAUUUUCCGCAAUGGGCGCAAGCCUGACGGAGCAACGCCGCGUGGGGGAGGAAGGUUUUUGGACUGUAAACCCCUUUUCUCAGGGAAGAAGAAAGUGACGGUACCUGAGGAAUAAGCCUCGGCUAAUUCCGUGCCAGCAGCCGCGGUAAUACGGGAGAGGCAAGCGUUAUCCGGAAUUAUUGGGCGUAAAGCGUCCGCAGGCGGUUAAUCAAGUCUGUUGUCAAAGCGUGGGGCUCAACCUCAUACAGGCAAUGGAAACUGAUUGACUAGAGUAUGGUAGGGGUAGCGGGAAUUCCAGGUGUAGCGGUGAAAUGCGUAGAUAUCUGGAAGAACACCAGCGGCGAAAGCGCGCUACUGGGCCAUAACUGACGCUCAUGGACGAAAGCUAGGGGAGCGAAAGGGAUUAGAUACCCCUGUAGUCCUAGCCGUAAACGAUGAACACUAGGUGUUGCGUGAAUCGACCCGCGCAGUGCCGUAGCCAACGCGUUAAGUGUUCCGCCUGGGGAGUACGCACGCAAGUGUGAAACUCAAAGGAAUUGACGGGGGCCCGCACAAGCGGUGGAGUAUGUGGUUUAAUUCGAUGCAACGCGAAGAACCUUACCAGGGUUUGACAUCCCCCGAAUCUCUUGGAAACGAGAGAGUGCCUUCGGGAGCGGGGAGACAGGUGGUGCAUGGCUGUCGUCAGCUCGUGUCGUGAGAUGUUGGGUUAAGUCCCGCAACGAGCGCAACCCACGUUUUUAGUUGCCAUCAUUCAGUUGGGCACUCUAGAGAAACUGCCGGUGACAAACCGGAGGAAGGUGUGGACGACGUCAAGUCAUCAUGCCCCUUACAUCCUGGGCUACACACGUACUACAAUGCUCCGGACAGCGAGACGCGAAGCCGCGAGGUGAAGCAAAUCUCCCAAACCGGGGCUCAGUUCAGAUUGCAGGCUGCAACUCGCCUGCAUGAAGGCGGAAUCGCUAGUAAUCGCAGGUCAGCAUACUGCGGUGAAUACGUUCCCGGGCCUUGUACACACCGCCCGUCACACCAUGGAAGUUGGCCAUGCCCGAAGUCGUUACCCUAACCGUUCGCGGAGGGGGGCGCCGAAGGUAGGGCUGAUGACUGGGGUGAAGUCGUAACAAGGUAGCCGUACCGGAAGGUGUGGCUGGAUCACCUCCUUUC